rnacentral:rRNA from 1 species
GACGAACGCUGGCGGCGUGCUUAACACAUGCAAGUCGAACGGAAAGGCCCUGCUUGCCGGGUACUCGAGUGGCGAACGGGUGAGUAACACGUGGGUGAUCUGCCCUGCACUUCGGGAUAAGCCUGGGAAACUGGGUCUAAUACCGGAUAGGAGCCAUUUUUAGUGUGAUGGUUGGAAAGUUUUUUCGGUGUAGGAUGAGCUCGCGGCCUAUCAGCUUGUUGGUGGGGUAAUGGCCUACCAAGGCGGCGACGGGUAGCCGGCCUGAAAGGGUGGACGGCCACAUUGGGACUGAGAUACGGCCCAGACUCCUACGGGAGGCAGCAGUGGGGAAUAUUGCACAAUGGGCGCAAGCCUGAUGCAGCAACGCCGCGUGGGGGAUGACGGCCUUCGGGUUGUAAACUCCUUUCGCUAGGGACGAAGCUUUUUGUGACGGUACCUAGAUAAGAAGCACCGGCUAACUACGUG